GGAUGAGCUGUGGAUAGGGGGUGAAAGGCUAAACAAAUCCGGAAAUAGCUGGUUCUCCCCGAAAACUAUUUAGGUAGUGCGUCGUACGGACACUUGCGGGGGUAGAGCACUGUAAUCGUUGGGGGGGUCAUUGCGAUCUACCCCGCGAUAGCAAACUCCGAAUACCGCAAAGUGAUAUACGGCAGACAGACAUCGGGUGCUAACGUCCGGUGUCAAGAGGGAAACAACCCAGACCGCCAGCUAAGGUCCCAAAUGCAUGGCUAAGUGGCAAACGAGGUGGGAAGGCAUAGACAGCUAGGAGGUUGGCUUAGAAGCAGCCAUCCUUUAAAGAAAGCGUAAUAGCUCACUGGUCGAGUGCCCUUGCGCCGAAAAUGUAACCGGGACUAAGUGUGAUACCGAAGACACGGAUUCGUAGCAAUACGAGUGGUAGAGGAGCGUUCCUUCAUCCGAUGAAGAUAUACCGUAAGGAGUAUUGGAGGAGUAGGAAGUGAAGAUGCCGG
rnacentral:rRNA from 1 species